rnacentral:lncRNA from 1 species
GGAUGAGGCAAGGAGACAGGAGUGAUCUCUCCACCCUGGGCCAAGUGCCUCCAGAAAGAACGCAGCCCUACUGACACCUUGGUUUUGGCCUGGUGAGACCAACUUUGGACUUUUCACUUCCAAAACUGUGAAGUUCUGAGGCCAAGAAAGGGUAGCUGAUUUCUCCACUGGUGGGAGUACCACUCAAAACUCAAACUCUCUGUCAAAGAAAAAUUGCAGUAGAUAGUGUUAAACAGGCAAAGAAGACUUUAUUCAAGACUGCAAUCAGAGAGAGAGAUGGAACUCAACUCAGCUGAAACAAAAUGCAGAGCUAAGAAAACUGAGAUAGAAGAUUAAAAGACAAUUGGAGAAGACAUUUGUA